UUUUCUGUACUUCACGAAUUUAAAGAUAAAUCUAACAGAUACGGACGAUUUGUUUCACAGACCACAUACAUGGAAUACACUCGACGCUCUUAUAUUAUUUACACGGGGUACAGUACAACCCAGUAUUUUGUACGUUUCUCUACCCUCAUAGUAAGACCAACUGCACAACGUAAUUACUGAUUAAUUCGAAGAGCAGCUUGUUUCUAAUCCCCUUCAAGAUAACACAUUACGAUUUUUUGUAAACGUCUAUAGAUGUACAUGUAUGUAAUCUUUAGAAUCUGAAAAGAACCAGCAGAGAGCGUGAUAUUUCCAUACGUGGAAUUCCAGGCGGAGUGUUUUAAUGGGGCCCUACAGCUCAAAAUCACUUCAAUUAAAGGAUAGACAUUACGAUGUCACGUCAGAUUUGGAACAUUAAUCACAAUUAAUUUUUCCUGUUCAAAACCAGGAUUUUCGUGCUCAUUUUAGAGCGUUAUAUUACAUAGUGGCGAAAUUAAAUACCAUUGAUGUACAUGCAUCGUUUUUAAAAGGAAGAGUAAGGGAAAAAAUUGCUGAGCAAAAGAGAAACACUUACUAGUAUAUUCAUAUAAUGUACAUUUCAAAUACUAUUUACAGACGAGAACCUGACGUACGGUAUUUCAUUUGGUUAUAGAGAUCGGGGAUUUUUUUGGCUUGUUUAUUUUUUUAUUUUUUAGAGAUUUGAGAAUUGUCCAAAAAGGAGGUUAUCUUUUCUUUUCUUUUUACUUAAAUCCAGUCAUUGUAAUACUGACUACGCACAUGAUCAAUCUUUCAAAUAUAUCGCUGAUAACAAUGAAGACUAUUGAUGCCUCUUUCUCUGAAUGAGGUUCAAAAUCAUUGUCUAUCCAUUGUAAAUAAAAAAAGUUUAGCACAAGUUGCUCUUUGUUCAAGCUAUGAACGGGUCCAAUAGUCAUAACAGUAUAUAAAAUUUCACCCUCUGUAUCAAAUUUAUCUUUUCACGAAGAAUUGCAAUGGCCAUUACCUUGAGAAAAUCGUCCCGAAGCUCUGGUAAUGUAAAAUAUGUCUUUCAUAUUAAUCAUGAUCACUUACCAAUUCUAGGAUCAUCCGUUCUACGUGCCUAUAGGGGUCUGUAAGUCUCGUCAUGUGAUUGCCGAGAUUUAGCGAGAUUAUUAACUUCCGGGUACAUCAACAUCUCAGAUUGCACUGUGUAGAGAGUGGUAUACAUAGAUAUAGCGUUAUCAAUCGAUUAUGUGGAGGUUUUAACGAGAUAAACAUGGGAAUUGAAGCAUUAGUGGAGUGGUCGAGGAUUCUUCGCUUCGUGUUUGACGAAUUACGUGUAAUAACCGCCAGUGUACAAGCAUCGACGAGGGUACGUCUUCCAGAUAAAGAGCAGAUAUGCCUUGAAUCUGAGGAUAAAGGUGUUGUGCAUUGUGCAGUCAUCAUUAAUGUGGAUGUCUGAUGCCAGUAUGCCCAUAAUGGGGCAGUAUAAGUGUCGAUCUUCAUAUGACAGCAAAUUUUCAAAGGCAGAUAUAAGAAGGCAAAUAAAACUGUUCAAUGUAAAAUACGCCAGUAGUUGGAUAAAACAUCCAAAGUCGGCACAGUCAAAGUGGAGGAAUUAACUGCAUCCUCAUUCCGCAGGGCAACAGGCCAUUUUCAGCAACCCCUGAAAUUCUUAAUUGAGGCCAAGUGCCCAUUUUCAGCUCGAACAAUGACAAUUAAAGAGGGCUGUGCAAAUAUUGGGAUUUCCCUCUUGAAUGUGAUGCAAGGGAUGGUUCGCUGCACCUCAAAACAAAAUUUGAAUAUUGGCAUCAGAUUCAAGGACAACACCACCUGAAAGACACCCAAUGCUGUGAUUUGCUAGUGUGGAUUCCUAGUGACACUCAAAUAAUUCACAUUGACAAAGAUGUAUUAUGUCAACCUUUUAAGCGUGAUAGAGUUUAAUUAUAAUAAUGAAGUAUUUUUGCAAUCUAAAACACACACACAUAACCACAUGUACAUAUACUUUAUUAUGAUAUCAGUGGUGCAUCUAUCAAAGUUAUGUAAUUACAUGUAUAUUUAUUGAAUAAACAUUAUAGACAA